UACGUAGGGUGCAAGCGUUGUCCGGAAUCAUUGGGCGUAAAGAGCGUGUAGGCGGCCUUUUAAGUCCUGCGUGAAAUCCUGCGGCUCAACCGCAGACGGUCGUGGGAAACUGGAAGGCUAGAGUGCGGGAGAGGAGAGUGGAAUUCCCGGUGUAGCGGUGAAAUGCGCAGAUAUCGGGAGGAACACCGAUGGCGAAGGCAGGUCUCUGGGC
rnacentral:rRNA from 1 species